GACAAACGCUGGCGGCGUGCUUAACACAUGCAAGUCGAACGGAGUACCCUUGAAUGAGGCUUCGGCCAAUUUCUUGGACUACUUAGUGGCGAACGGGUGAGUAACGCGUGAGAAACCUGCCUCUCAGUGGGGGACAACAGUUGGAAACGACUGCUAAUACCGCAUAACACUUUAGUAUCGCAUGAUACAGAAGUCAAAGCUUUAUGUGCUGAGAGAUGGUCUCGCGUCUGAUUAGCUAGAUGCGGGGUAACGGCCACCAUGGCGACGAUCAGUAGCCGGUCUGAGAGGAUGAACGGCCACAUUGGGACUGAGAUACGGCCCAGACUCCUACGGGAGGCAGCAGUGGGGAAUAUUGGGCAAUGGGGGAAACCCUGACCCAGCAACGCCGCGUGAAGGAAGAAGGCCUUCGGGUUGUAAACUUCUUUUAGCAGGGACGAAGGACGUGACGGUACCUGCAGAAAAAGCAACGGCUAACUACGUG
rnacentral:rRNA from 1 species